GGAGCCCACACAUGUCUAGCCAACUAAUCUUUGACAAGAAAACUGAAAACAAUCCAGGGAAAAAGCCUGAUCUCUCCAAUAAAUGCUGCUGGGACAACAGGAUAGCAGCUUGCAAAAGUAAGAAGCA